rnacentral:rRNA from 1 species
UUGAAAGGGAAACGAUUGAAGUCAGUCGUACCUGCGGGUAAUCAGCCUUUUGGGCAUGAUUCUGUGGAGUGUGAGGAGUUAAACGCCUUCAUGCCUGCAUAUUCGUGUACUUUGGGUGUACUUGCCUGUGUGGUUAGUUAACAUCAAUUUUGGUUAUCAUAAAAUGGCUGGAGGAAUGUAGCUUCGAUUUCGAUUGAAGUGUUAUAGCCUUCGGCAGAUGUGAUGAUCGGGAUUGAGGAUUGCAACGGAUACCCUUCGGGGCUACCUGUCUGAUCUCUGAUCGUUGCUUUGGUGCCGAAAGCGUGCUUACGGUUAUCAAAGUCGAUGGUUAAUAGGUUAGAACGGGUUAAAUUCGUUAAGGAUGUUGACGUA